UUGAAACACCAGUUCCCAUAUGAUCACCAAAGUUAAGCAACAUUGUGCUUAGUCACUUCCUAGAUGGGUUACUGCUUGGAAAUACCAGGUGCUGUAAG